UAUUAAAAAAUCCAUCUAAUUCUACUAUUAAAAAUUGACGUGGCUGACAAAAUUAUCAGACAGCCGCACGUAGUGUGCCAUAUGUACCUUAUACUGACGUAAUGAGACCAAUUUUUCAUUGAAAAAACGGAUGGAAUUGUUAACA
rfam:Gossypium arboreum cultivar AKA8401 contig_8603_1, whole genome shotgun sequence.